rnacentral:lncRNA from 1 species
UUUGUUACUCCAGCUUCACUUGUUCACAAUUUCUUCUAGUUCUUAUAAAUGAUAGUAUAUUUUAAAGUAAAAGUUAUUGCACUUGUUAAUAGUCAUGAUCUAAUAAAGAUACUUCACAAUGCAAGACUCGUGUGAUCACGUUAACGUCUGUUUAUACGUCAGUUAUAUUCCAUCAAAUAUUUUCCUAGUAGCCGACUGAGCAGAACUUUUACAUUCUCAUCACGCGGCCAGCGCUUGGGAAUUUAUAACCAAGGAUAAUCUUUAUUAGCUAGAAAAUAUAGAUUUGAUGGAUUGUAACUAAUCACUUCUAACAUUCCUCAAUUAUCAAAGGUUUGUUGUUGUUUGGCAUCGACGCUCAAAUAAAACGCUCGCAAAUGCUACCACCCAGACUGAUCACCUUUUCCCGGGAAAGAAAUCUUUUCGUCGAGUGAUAAACUGAAUUCACAAAUGACUGGGUAACGACAACUACUCAGUGUCAGGUUCCCGAAGCCAACACUGGUUAUUUUGCUAUUCAUUUCAACAUGACAGAGAACCAAAAACUGGCUAUGACUGAUUCAUCCCUAAUCGUCUUUAAUCACCACUGCGACACUGUGUAGUUUCACUUACUCCGUCUACAAUCAACGCGCGCCCUCUAUGGCAGGAGACUGGGAACCAGUCAGGAGCUGUGAUGAGCUGGGGCCCGGAAACUUUUCGGGUCCGCAAAGCCAUUUUUAGGUCAUCUGUAUCUAACAACGGAGAAGUGUAUACGCCUGAAACUUGUAUGAAGGAAACCUAUUUUCCUGUUAAGAAUAUGUGAGUAAAACAGCUCUGUAAUCAUAGGGUUCGAGAUUUUGUUACGGCUUUCCGGGUACGAAAACUUUUCGGGACCCUCGAGAAACGGGCCCCAGGGAACCGUGAGAGAGAGAUUCUCUGAAGGUCCAUGAGCUGCGUUUGUAAAUUGUAGCUGGCGCGAUGGUGAAGGGACUGGGUUUCUCUCCUUUUCCCUAUCAUUUGGCACAAAGCAGGAAAAAUUGCCAAACAGAAAAUUUCAAAUGGAAAACGUGGAUUUGUUUACGGGACUGUGUUGUGCAAUGAAGCGUUAGCAUGAAGGUUGAAGGCAAACAAAAUUAUUCCGCCUAUGUCAGAUGCUGAAAACUGCGUGUAAAGAUAUUCUAGAAAUCUGAACAAGAUCACUUUAAAGUUGCACAAAGUUCAAACUGUUUUGAACCAGAGUAAAUAUAUUUAAUCGAAGUGAUCAAUUGAUAGCAGUAGUUCACUUACAAUAUUUAAUUCGAAGUGAAAUCUUUUUCUGUCGUCAAUUCAGGACUCGCCAGCAUUUUCGAGCCACGGCCCUCAAGAACAAGCCUGAAUAUCCCAAGGCCGAAAAGAAUUAUCCAGUACCCAGCUAACGACGAUGGUCAUGUUAUGGCAAUCGAUCUUGGCUGACCUUAUGAUAACCAACCAUGUAAUUGUUUUUGUUGGGCGACGUAGUAGAUAAAGCUAUGGUCAGCCAAACUCAUGAAAUCCAUUCAACUUGUAAGACAUUUCAUCGAAGGACUAUUUUAGUCUUGCAUAAUCCCAAUUUUCUAAAAGAAUAAAAACAUUUAGUAUCUACUAAAUCAAGUAAUAUCUGAUCUUGGAGUUGGAGGUGCGAGGAAAUGCGCGACAUGUCUUACAAAUAACGUCAUUUUCGCGCGCUGCGAUCAUUACCUCAUGCAAAAUAACGAAUCAGGGCCGCGUACCUGCUAAAACACGGGCUGGUACCAUGAAUAUUGGAUAUCGUGUUUAUUUUACUUUCUAGUGAACCAAUCAGCGUAGAAUGUGAUAUCGCUGGUAUCUGGAAAGGUCGGAAAAUUUCAUGUCCGAAACUUGGAUGUAGAACGACGGAAAUUUGGGAGAAAAAUUUCCCCAAACUAUUAUGAGGAUCUUGUCAAUCAUUGUGAUCCUUGGAUUGUGUGCAGUAGGGUUUUCACGGCCAUCAGCAAAAGAAAACAAAGUUACAGAAGAAGUGGAUGAGUCAGACAAAGAACUUAUCCGAGUUGCUCGAGAAGAUGUAGAGGACGACGAGCCAAAAGGGAAAUCUCACAAGGAAAAGAAAAGGUCCACAGAAGUGGUCAACAAAAGAGCAAAACGGGCCGCUGAAGAAG